AGAGUACGUGAAACCGUUCAGGGGUAAACGUGAUGAAACCCAAAAGAUCGAAUGGGGAGAUUCAUCGUCAGCCGCUUUGGCUUCCGUGUGGUUCGCGAUGAUCGGGAUUUCGGUCCCGUGUCACGCAAUCGCUGCGGUUGUCCGAGGUGGUCGGCGUGCACUUCUCCCCUAGUAGGACGUCGCGAUUCGUUGGGUGUCGGUUUACGGACCGGUAGGUCGUCUGACAAGUUACGUUCACGCGUGCACUAGUCAGACCUCUGGUUUCCCAACCGGCUGCCCGGCGAUAUAAAACGAUAAUCAAUGGUAUUGGGCCGCAUCGAAUGCGUUCAGGCUCAUCGGCAGAUACGCCUCGCUCGGAUUUACGGACCUAGUGCCGUUGCCGGGUGCUUGGCGUGUCGUUCGCCGACGGUGUCCUCGGACUGGCUCUUUAUAUUCUUUACGAAUAUACCGAUCGGCGACGCUACUGCUUUGGGUACUUUCAGGACCCGUCUUGAAACACGGACCAAGGAGUCUAACAUGUGCGCGAGUCAUUGAGUCAAUUAAAGCUUAAAGGCGUAAUGAAAGUAAAGGUCUUCCUUAGCGUCGACCGAGGGAGGAUGGCUGACGUUACGAUGUUAGCUCGCACUCCCGGGGCAUCUCGUGUUCAUUGCGAACAGAGGUGCACCCAGAGCGCACACGUUGGGACCCGAAAGAUGGUGAACUAUGCCUGGUCAGGACGAAGUCAGGGGAAACCCUGAUGGAGGUCCGUAGCGAUUCUGACGUGCAAAUCGAUCGUCGGAACUGGGUAUAGGGGCGAAAGACUAAUCGAACCAUCUAGUAGCU
rnacentral:rRNA from 1 species